rnacentral:rRNA from 1 species
AUUGAACGCUGGCGGCAGGCCUAACACAUGCAAGUCGAACGAGUGGCGGACGGGUGAGUUAUGUCUGGGAAACUGCCCGAGGGAGGGGGAUAACUACUGGAAACGGUAGCUAAUACCGCAUACCAUCGGAUGUGCCCAGAUGGGAUUAGCUUGGGGGUGGGGUAACGGCUCACCUAGGCGACGAUCCCUAGCUGGUCUGAGAGGAUGACGAGCCACACUGGGACUGAGACACGGUCCAGACUCCUACGGGAGGCAGCAGUGGGGAAUAUUGCACAAUGGGCGCAAGCCUGAGGCAGCCAUGCCGCGUGGAUGAAGAAGGCCUUCGGGUUGUAAAGUACUUUCAGGGGGGAGGCGUUAACGGCAGAAGAAGCACCGGCUAACUCCGUGCCAGCAGCCGCGGUAAUUC